rnacentral:misc_RNA from 1 species
UUUCCGUAGGUGAACCUGCGGAAGGAUCAUUAGUGAAUAUUAGGGCGUCUACUUCGGUAGGGCCUGACCUCCACUUUCCAACUCUGUGCACUUAUUUGGCGGAAAAGGGAAUUAGUAAUCUGUCUAAUGACGUUUACGACUUCUUACUUUCUGCGGCUUACUUUAAACACUAGUCAAAGUAUGUAACGAAAUAUCGAAACAAAUAAAAACUUUCAACAACGGAUCUCUUGGCUCUC